CCCCAAACUCCUCCGUUAGUCCAGCGGAGACCAAGAUGCCCGAGGAUCGCCGUGUCGCGGCGGAGGACGGCGAAGGCCCCGCUGGAGACGAAGAUAUCGCUGAUCUCCUCCCUCUCCCUCUCGUCCGAUCCCAGCUGAUCCCCCCCGCUCCCAACCGCCGUGCGUCGGCUAUCGACUGGCUGCCGGACUUCGGCGGCGCCUCUUGGAUUGCGUACGGCGCCGCGUCUCUUCUCGUCAUCUCCCACUUCCCUUCCCCUCUCUCCUCCCAUGAAACCCUAGUCGGUCCUUUCUUCCAGCAGGUCAUCGACCCGCCCGUCUCCGCUGCCGGAGACGGCCCCGCAGCCGUGAACGCGGUCGCCUGGUGCCCUGCCCACCCGUCCGAAGGAGAGAUCGCGGCGGCCUUAGGGAAUAGCAUCUGGAUGUACUCGCCGGUCCUUGACAACGAAUCCGGUUCUUUCUGUUGGAAGCAGACUGUAGACAUUGCAGUGACCUUUACUAUAGAGGCCAUCGAAUGGACAGGUUCUGGUGAUGGGUUGAUUGCAGCUGGUAUUGAGGUGGUUUCAUGGAUAAGAAGGAGCACCUCUUGGGAAAUGGCAUGGAAGUUGAGAGCAAAGGUGCCUCAAUCUCUUCUUUCUGCAACCUGGUUUGCUGAAGGACCUGUAGCAACAGCUGCUUAUUCAUUGGUUCACUCCAGUGGAAUAAAUGCAGAAGUAUUCUCUUUCUCAAGAGAGGAACAUAAGUGUGUUUCAGUCUAUCACAAUGAUGGGAGUUCUGGAAUAACAGAAGUUCAGCUCCAUCAUCCUCAAUCUGUUUCAAUGAUUCAGUGGAGGCCAUUCACUGGGACACAAUUUGAAAAGGAUGCUUCACCUGCAUCAAGGGAUGUGCUGUUGACAUGCUGCUUGGAUGGAACUGUAAGACUCUGGAGCGAGAUUGACAAUGGGAGGGCUAGAAAAUUCAAUAAGGAAACACAUGAUCUGAAGACAAGAAGACGAUCUUACCAUGUUAUUGCAGUAAUUGAAAUAAACCAGUGUUUGAGGGGAACUCUUGGAGUAGACAUUUUCAUAAAAUGGGCAAUUGAAUUUGGUGGUGUAAUUUGUAAAGGUGAAGGAGAUGGUAUGUAUUUAUCAUCCGCUGGUUCUGAUCAUGGUCAGAUUGGCAAAUGUGAGUGGUUGAUAAGUUUGGGCCCUAGAUCCUCUGUUACUUACUGGGCAAUCCAUUGCCUUGAUGACAUUGCCCCCACACGUUCUCCACGGGUGACUUUGUGGAAAAAACAAGACAUAGUGGACUUAAAAGGGUGCAAAUUUUCUGAGUCUGACUUCUCAAGUUCUAAAGACCAGCCUAUCCUUGUUAAAGUUGUUGAUUCAAGGAGCUGGCUUUGUGGCCCACCUGAGGUCUGCUCUUUGCUUCAGUUGUUGCCCAAUAGUUCAGUUCAUUGGUCACAGUUAUAUAAUCCCCUGCCAAAUGAUAGGGAGGAUAAAUCUUUAAGUAAACUCAGUAAGGAAAGAAGUCUUUCAUGUUUUUCAGGUGGAGUUCUAAAUCAAGAUGGACACACGGGGAACAUCAUACAAGUUGCUCUGCAUCCAUAUAGUUGUGAAAUUGAACUUGCUGUUUCUUUGGAUUCUGAUGGCUUUCUUCUUUUCUGGUCCCUUUCUGCCUUCUCCAAUUGCACUUUGAGCAUGCAAACAGUUGUACAUCCUGUAUGGAAACUUCUGGGGAAAGUUACCUUGCGAGAUUUAUCCACUGAUAUUGGAUAUUCAUGUCUGACCUGGGCACCAUCAAUUUUGGAUGAUGAGCGAUUCCUUCUCCUGGGAAAUGCUUAUGGAAUCGAUUGUUUUAUUGUUAAAAUUUCUGAAAAAGGGGAGAAUGUGUUAUGCCAGAAGAUGUUCACAAUUCCCUUUGCUGGCUGUAAUCAUGGAGGACCACCAGAUCACAUUUAUUCAGCACCUUUAGCUUCCAAAUGUGGGUUAUCUUUUCUUUCUAAUAGUUUCUUGUUAUUUUGUGUAUGGACAACGAAGUUUCAAGCUUUAUCAUGGAAAGUUGCCCUGCACUCUGAAUCUCCAUCUGGAAGCAAUGGUCAAUGUGGCUGUGAUGCUAAAGGCAUUGCUGAUUCAGAAGAAGGGAGACAUGUUAGUUCUUUUGAAAGUCAAGUGUACUCUACUACCAUUUACCCAGGCUCAUCAGACCUACCAGCGCCUCAAAAUUGUGAUCAGAUUACCAGUGUUGCUGUAGUUUCCUUGGAUAAUUCUAUGCUACCCAUCCAACAAUCUGCAGCUUCUUGUGGUGGUUUAUGCAGCGACUCUGUUAGUUACGACAUGGCUACAGGCUGCUCUGAUGGCACUUUGAAACUUUGGAAAAUGUCUUAUGCAGAAUCUCCUCUUCAUUCUGAGCCGGAGAGGCUCCUUUGGAAGCUAGUCGGUAUGUUCACAGCACAUCAGGGCCCGGUCAGUGCAAUUUCUUUAUCCAUUCAUAAUAGUAAGAUUGCAACUGUCAGCAUGGAUGGUCAUAAUAGCACUGCAAGGCUUCAUAUCUGGGAACCUAUAUGCCUGAUAGGUAGUGGGAGUUUUCUGUUAGAAGAUGCAAUAAUAUUAAAUGGGCCUGUUAUUGCUAUAAAUUGGUUAUCCAUUGGUAAUGGCCAGUUGUUGCUUGGAGUCUGCCUCCCAAAUGAGUUCCAUGUAUAUUCUCAGAAAAUGUCUUCUGACCAGAAUCUGGUAAAAUUGGAGGGAUUGAAGGAGAUGCAUGUUUGGUAUUGCCUUGCACGAUUGCAUUCUUACCCUGUUUCUAAAAAUUUCCUUUGGGGACCUAAGGUGACUCCUGUGCUUGUUCAUGAGAAACAUCUUUCUGUCUUAAGCCAGUGGUUAUUCAGAGCAGAAACAAAGUCAUCAGAAAAUGCGAGUAAUAAGGAAAAUGGCCUCAAGGACCUCACUUUCUGUUCAGAGAUGUCCCAGCAACAAUAUUAUUCUGAUACCAAAAGGGGUUUGCUCAGCAUAAUAGAUAUAGCAGAUAGGCUGCGUGCAUAUCUAGUGGUCUAUCACCCCAGGGCACUUAUCGAAUGUCUGUAUUCAGGUAACUGGAGACAUGCACAAGUUGUUCUGAAGCAUCUGAUUGAAUCUAUCAAGUCUAAUGGAACUUCCACUACUAUUCUGGGGGGCAAUAAUCAGAUAUUGUGCCAUAACAUUCUGGAGAUUCAUUUAUCUAAAUAUUCCGAGGAUACUAUCUCUCAAGAGUUAUGCAAUAAAAGGUUGCAAUGGGGUCAAAAUGUUAGUUCUGAAGUAUCUAGUUUGCAGUUCCAAGGAAAAAUAAGCUGGUCUAUGGUAGGUGAUUCAAUGGCUAAUGCUCCUAAAAAUAUUUCUACUGCCCCCUCUUGGAAAUCCGAGUUCAUCUAUGCUCUCGAGAACACCCAUGACAUUGCUUCCAUUAAAGAUGUGGAAAGAACCCAAAUCCUUGCAAUUGUUGAUCUUCUGGGUGAAGUUGGUGAUUCAAGUCAUGCUUCUGCCUAUGAAAGUCUUGAUGAACCUGGGCGAAGGUUCUGGGUUGCUGUGCGAUUUCAACAUCUAUAUUUUCUUCGAAAAUAUGGGAGAUUGGCUGCUGCAGAAGAGUUUGUUGUUGACUCUGGGUUGGUUGCAUGGGCCUUCCAGUCUGAUUGUCAAGAUGAUCUGCUGAAUUCUGUUUUAUCUGCAGAACCAUCUUGGAUAGAAAUGCGAAAUUUGGGUGUAGGAAUCUGGUAUAUGAAUGCAUCCCAACUACGAACAAGGAUGGAGAAAUUGGCAAGAUUGCAAUAUCUGAAGAAAAAGGACCCAAAGGACUGUGCGCUUUUAUAUUUAGCAUUGAAUCGACUUCAGGUUUUGGCUGGCCUUUUUAAAAUUAGUAAAGAUGAGAAAGAUAAAUUGCUGGUUGGAUUUCUAUCGCGCAAUUUCCAGGAAGAAAAAAAUAAAGCUGCUGCACUAAAGAAUGCCUACGUUUUAAUGGGAAGACAUCAGUUGGAGCUUGCCAUAGCAUUUUUCCUGCUAGGAGGUGAUCCUUCUUCUGCUGUCACUGUCUGUGCAAAAAACCUUGGGGAUGAACAGCUUGCUCUUGUCAUUUGUCGACUUGUUGAGGGUUAUGGAGGGUCACUAGAGCGUCAGCUUAUAUCAAAUAUUUUGCUUCCUAAUGCUAUUGAGAAAGGCGACUACUGGCUUUCCAGCCUAUUUGAAUGGACUUUAGGGAAUUAUUCUGAUUCAGUCAAGGUACUAUUUGAUUUGCACAAUGAGUUACUGAUUGAUAAGUCUGUAACUCUGUGUGACCGUCCUGCCUUUUCAGACCCAAAUAUUGGUCGAUACUGUCUAGUACUUGCAGCCAAAAAUAGUUUUAGAAAUUCUGCUGGUGAUGUUCUGGCUAUGAUGCUGUCCAAGUUUGGAAGAUUGUUGGCUGCAAAAGCCUUGGACAGAUGUGGACUCCCUCUUGAAGCAUUGGAGUGCUUAUCCUCUUCUUUAAUCAUUGAGGGUAAAGAUCGAGGCAGUUUGAUAGAUAUUGCAAGUCAUAAGAUCUUUCAUGGAAUACUGAAUCCUUUCUCAAGUGGUGCGUGCAACUGGCUACUGGGAGAUGUGGCUCUUAAAUUGGAAUCUAAUGUUAAGUUAAAUAUGGCAUUGCAAUACAUAUCAAAAGUGCUAAGGGAUCAUCCAAGAUGGCCUCCCAGUAAUCUAGUCUCGUCCAGAGAAUUAAUUAUCUACAAGGAGCAUGAUACUUGCCAAGAUGAAACUCAGACAGGAGAGUUCAAACAUUACCUGAAGACGCUAUUGUUCACGUUUGAGCAGAAGUUCUCAUUGAAUUCAGUUGACUUAGCCAACAUGAUCCUAAUUUUUGCUUGCAACAAGGAAUUAUUAUUUCUUGGAUACCUAAUGCUACAAGUCAAUAUUUCUCAGGAAGAUGAAAAUGAUCAUCAUGGUCCUCUAAGUUCUUUCUUAAAUCCUGCUCUUUCCAGGCUGCUUUUGAAGGCAAGCCGGGAAAUAUCCUAUUUUGUUGCUCGAUAUGUUGUCUUCUGCUGUUUUUCUGAUUCUGUACUGAAGCUGGUUUACAACAGAGAUUUCACAUGUGAAAAGGACAUGUAUGGUCUGGUUCAUCCUAGGGAUUUUGUUCUGCAAAGUAUAAUCUACCAAUUGAGGAUCUUCAGGUCAAUUUUAAAGCAGUGUGAUAAAGAAUAUUCUACAGAAGGUGUUUCUUUAAAUUCCCGUUCUGUUCUUGAUCUCGUUGAAUUUUGUGUGUUUUUUUCAUCCACUUGGUUUAGGAGACAUUUGAAAGGACUCAUCUUGAUGAUCCGUCCAAUUUUAAAUGCAUUUGUCAAUGGCCGGUCAUCUUUUGAAGGUAUGGCGGGUGAACUAAUGAAAGUUUUACGUCAGACAUCGGAGUUGAUGGUUCAAGAUGUGCCAGGAGAUAGCAUGGGAUGCGUCCCUGAUGCUAUUUGCCAACAAAAGCAGCUUGAACAAAAUGAUUCUUUAAUUCCUUCCAUACCAGAAGAUGAAAAGUGGCAUCUUGUAGGGGCUUGUUUAUGGAUGCAUCUGUCAAAUUCCAUGACAAACCACUUUAGCAAGCUCCCAGUGACAGAAAGGCCUAAAGAUGAGAACAGUAUCAUGGAUCUGAUAAAUCUAUUCCCCCUUCUUGUUGCGAAAUUACUAGUAACCUCACUGUCUUAUGUUUCCUCUUCUUUAGUAAAACAGCUUGCAUCAUUCCUUAGAUGGAAAGCACUAAAGGGUUUACCUAUACCUACUAUUGUAUGGUUAAAUGAGUGUAGUCAGUCUCAACCAGGCUUCUUACAUCAUUAUUUAAAUCAGGAAGUUGCUACUUCGCAAUUGCCCAUCGAGGACAGGAAAUCCUUUUUCAACAUGUUGUGGGAAAUUUCUUUGAAUCCUCAGGAUAUUUGUGCAGAAUUUAUAAAAGAAAGAGUUCCCUGUUUUCCCUGUACUAGCAGGAAGCUCUUUUCAUCCUGGAAAGAUAUGCACAAGGAUUUCUUUGCUGAGUAUGAAAAUGGUGCUUCAACAAACAAUAGAAUAGAAGAUAGGAGCACUGGUGGCAUUCCUGAUGAUGGAACAAAAUCAAUUCUUAGUGGCAUGGUCGUGGACACAGAUGGUUUUGUGGAAACAAGAAGGAAAUGUCCAAGCUCCCCAAGAGGCGCUACUUAUUUUCACAAUCCGAAGGAAGUUGCUAAGAGAAGUGGCGAACUUCUUGAGGCAAUUUGUUUUAAUUCUAUCAAUGAGCAACAAGUUGCGCUUGCAAGCAACCGAAAGGGACUUCUUUUCUUCAACUGGAAAGCAGAAAAACCUUUCAAAGAGCAAGCAGAUUAUAUCUGGUCAGAGUCUGAUUGGCCACAAGAUGGGUGGGCUGGUUGUGAAUCUACGCCGAUUCCUACGUAUGUUUCUCCAGGUGUUGGUCUCGGGAGCAAAAGAGGGGCACACUUGGGGUUGGGUGGAGCAACAGUGGGCAUAGGCUCUUUGGCAAGACCAGGAAGAGACUUAACGGGAGGUGGAGCAUUUGGAAUUCCAGGUUAUGCUGGUAUUGGAGCCUCAGGUCUUGGCUGGGGGGAACAAGAAGAUUUUGAUGAGUCCAUAGACCCUCCAGCAACAAUAGAAAACGUUCGCACCCGAGCAUUAUCCUGUCAUCCUUCAAGGCCUUUCUUUUUAGUUGGGUCUAGCAACACACAUGUCUACCUUUGGGAGUUUGGUAAGGAUAGAGCUUUGGCGACCUAUGGUGUUCUUCCUGCUGCUAAUGUUCCCCCACCUUAUGCGCUUGCCUCGAUAUCUGCCGUGCAAUUUGACCGUUGUGGACACAGAUUUGCUACUGCUGCAUUAGAUGGCACAGUAUGCACAUGGCAACUUGAGGUUGGAGGGAGGAGCAAUGUCCAUCCCACUGACUCAUCCAUCUGCUUUAGCAACCAUGCAUCGGAUGUUGCAUAUGUGGCUGCAAGUGGGUCAAUUAUUGCUGCAGCUGGAUGUAACUCAAAUGGCAUCAAUGUUGUUGUGUGGGACACAUUAGCUCCACCAGCAACAUGUCAAGCAUCUAUUAUUUGUCAUGAAGGAAGUGCCUUGUUGGAAGAGAAGUUAAUGAAUAAUUUGCGAUUCAUUGUGGUGCUCGUUCUCUUUCGGUGUUUGAUAAUGAUGUAGGAAGUGGGUCAAUUUCACCCCUAAUAGUAACAGGGGGAAAAGGCGGUGAUGUAGGGCUGCACGACUUCCGCUUCAUUGCCACUGGAAAGACCAAGCGGCAUAGGCAUUCUAAUGAGCAAGAUUACCUGCCCUCUACUGUGCAUGAGAUGAACUCGGGGACUUCCAAGUAUGGUGAAAAUGCCAAUGGAAUGGUAUGGUAUAUACCGAAGGCUCAUUUAGCAAGUGUCACCAGGAUUUCAACUAUCCCGAAUACUAGCUUGUUCUUAACUGGUAGCAAAGAUGGUGAUGUGAAACUUUGGGAUGCCAAAAGAUCCCAAUUAAUUUUUAAUUGGCAGAAACUGCAUGAGCGACAUACUUUUCUUAAAUCAAACUCCAGAGGCUUUGUGAGGGCUGGUGUGACGGACAUUCAAGUUUUUUCCCAUGGUUUUCUUACGUGUGGUGGAGAUGGUUCUGUAAAAGUGGUCCAGCUCAAAUAAUCUCUUACACGCAAGUUUCAUAAAAUCUAAAAGAAGAAAAGAGAUCUCCCUUCAGAUUAUGGGUUGAAUGGAUUUCUCCAAUGAGCUUCAUCAAGAACCUUUGAGAUCAUCUACCACCGAUGAUGCAGUCUGCCAGGACAAAUAUCGAAGUCUCUUUCCAUGGUUUUCUUGGAUACAGUGGAGAUGGUCCUGUCGAACUGGUCCAGCUCAAUUAAUUUCUUAGACCGAAGUUUGAUAUAAACUAAAAGAGGAAAAGAUUACCCUUCAGAUUGAAUAGGGGUUAAAUGGAUUUUCCCCAGCAAGCUUCUUUGAAAGCCUCCAGAAUCCUUUCAGAUCUCAUCCAGUAUUAUUCUUGGAAGUUACUGGGAGUUCAACCAUCAAGUCCAAAUAUUUCAACUCAUUUUAUAGCUUUAGAAGUCCCACAUUCUAACUUUCUUCAGUAGAGGUACCUGUCAGCAACUGUGGUUUCUUAUGGUCUCGUAUUCACAUCUUUGAUAUCCAAUAUGUUUUCAAUGCUGCUGAAAUGAGUUGUAUUGUUAUCAGUGGGCUCAGUUAUAUCAUCUUAAACCACAGUUAGUCUCCAAUCUUUUAGACAAUCGGCAAAUGCAGUGAGGCCAUUAUUGUGGGGUAAUACCUGCCGGAUUAGCAGCGCCUGGACUAAUUUAUUUUGAUCCACCUUAUAUUACAUUCUUUAUUGGAUUGUAUACCAAUGGGAGCUGGACAUUUUAGCCAGCAUAGAUUUGCUGUUGGACUGAUUACAACUUGAACACCUAACCAUUGCUACUGGUACCUGUAUCUGCUUUUCUUGCCUGCAGCAUGUCUAUAACAUCUUGUUUUGUUAUCAAUUUGAUUAUCGAGUAUAUAUGAUCUCAAAGUAGGGGUUGCUCAGUUCAUUGUAAAAACCUUUCUUAUUGUACAAAAUCUCUGUCAGCUUGCAUGUGCAUAGCCAGACUGGGGACAGAUCUUUUGCUAUCGGUAGGACUGAUGGGUUUUGAGUG